AGCAUCUGAGCAACGCACAUUCGCGUAUGCUCUCCCCCUGGGGUGCAGGUCGACACGCAAUUACGAGGACCUACUUUCAUCGAUGCCUCCAUCCAAGUGAAGACAGAUAAACCUCUCGCAAGCACCCAGAUUGCCGAAUGGAGAACCCUUGGAUCGCCGACUCCACGCCGCCUGAGGCUGCCUUCGAUGGUCUACAGGGGUCUUUGUCCCAGUACUUCUGCUCUACGCUUUCGACUACCUACAAUGGACGACACCUUUUUUUUUUUCUUUUCUAGAAGACCUCCGAAACGAUAAUUGUGAGUUCCGUGUCGACUUCUGGUUUCUCCAGGGGGACGAAGAUUGCAAGCGAUUUUACAUUUCAAGAAUAAAUACACCACUUUGUUUUCACGA